CUCGUAGGCGGCCAACUAAGUCGGAUGUGAGAUCCCCAGGCUCAACUUGGGAACUGCAUCCGAUACUGGUCGGCUUGAAUCCGGGAGAGGGAUGCAGAAUUCCAGGUGUAGCGGUGAAAUGCGUAGAUAUCUGGAGGAAUACCGGUGGCGAAGGCGGCAUCCUGGACCGGCAUUGACGCUGAUGUGCGAAAGCCAGGGGAGCAAACG
rnacentral:rRNA from 1 species